rnacentral:rRNA from 1 species
GCCCGAGUUGUAAUUUGGAGAGGGCAACUUUGGGGCCGUUCCUUGUCUAUGUUCCUUGGAACAGGACGUCAUAGAGGGUGAGAAUCCCGUGUGGCGAGGAGUGCGGUUCUUUGUAAAGUGCCUUCGAAGAGUCGAGUUGUUUGGGAAUGCAGCUCUAAGUGGGUGGUAAAUUCCAUCUAAAGCUAAAUAUUGGCGAGAGACCGAUAGCGAACAAGUACAGUGAUGGAAAGAUGAAAAGAACUUUGAAAAGAGAGUGAAAAAGUACGUGAAAUUGUUGAAAGGGAAGGGCAUUUGAUCAGACAUGGUGUUUUGUGCCCUCUGCUCCUUGUGGGUAGGGGAAUCUCGCAUUUCACUGGGCCAGCAUCAGUUUUGGUGGCAGGAUAAAUCCAUAGGAAUGUAGCUUGCCUCGGUAAGUAUUAUAGCCUGUGGGAAUACUGCCAGCUGGGACUGAGGACUGCGACGUAAGUCAAGGAUGCUGGCAUAAUGGUUAUAUGCCGC